rnacentral:rRNA from 1 species
GUGGGGAAUCUUCCGCAAUGGACGAAAGUCUAACGGAGCAACGCCGCGUGAGUGAUGAAGGUCUUCGGAUUGUAAAGCUCUGUUAAUCGGGACGAAAGAGCCUAGUGUGAAUAAUGCUAGGAAGUGACGGUACCGGAAUAGAAAGCCACGGCUAACUACGUGCCAGCAGCCGCGGUAAUACGUAGGUGGCAAGCGUUGUCCGGAAUUAUUGGGCGUAAAGCGCGCGCAGGCGGAUCUGCCAGUCUGUCUUAAAAGUUCGGGGCUUAACCCCGUGAUGGGAUGGAAACUACAGAUCUAGAGUAUCGGAGAGGAAAGUGGAAUUCCUAGUGUAGCGGUGAAAUGCGUAGAUAUUAGGAAGAACACCAGUGGCGAAGGCGACUUUCUGGACGAAAACUGACGCUGAGGCGCGAAAGCCAGGGGAGCGAACGGGAUUAGAUACCCCUGUAGUCC